UACGGAGGUGGCAAGCGUUGCUCGGAAUCAUUGGGCGUAAAGGGUGCGUAGGCGGCGCGGUAAGUCGGGUGUGAAAUCUCGGAGCUUAACUCCGAAACUGCAUUCGAUACUGCCGGGCUAGAGUCCGGAAGAGGCGAGUGGAACUCCUGGUGUAGCGGUGGAAUGCGCAGAUAUCAGGAAGAACACCAACGGCGAAGGCAGCUCGCUGGGACGGUACUGACGCUGAGACGCGAAAGCGUGGGGAGCGAACAGG
rnacentral:rRNA from 1 species